rnacentral:rRNA from 1 species
UACGUAGGGGGCUAGCGUUGUCCGGAAUCAUUGGGCGUAAAGAGCGUGUAGGCGGUCCGGUAAGUCCGCUGUGAAAGUCGGGGGCUCAACCCUCGAAUGCCGGUGGAUACUGUCGGGCUAGAGUGCGGAAGAGGCGAGUGGAAUUCCUGGUGUAGCGGUGAAAUGCGCAGAUAUCGGGAGGAACACCGGUGGCGAAGGCGGCGAUCUGGGUAGAUACUGACGCUGAGGUGCGAAAGCGUGGGGAGCAAACAGG